UACAGAGGUCCCGAGCGUUGUUCGGAUUCAUUGGGCGUAAAGGGUGCGUAGGCGGCGGGGGAAGUCUGAUGUGAAAUCCUGGGGCUCAACCCUGGAACUGCAUUGGAUACUUCCUUGCUAGAGUACUGGAGAGGAAACUGGAAUUUACGGUGUAGCAGUGAAAUGCGUAGAGAUCGUAAGGAAGACCAGUGGCGAAGGCGAGUUUCUGGACAGUUACUGACGCUGAGGCACGAAGGCCAGGGGAGCAAACGGG
rnacentral:rRNA from 1 species